CCCAGGUCGGCUCGCCUGCCCCUGGACUGGCUGUAGCGCCCAGGUUGGCUUGCUUGCCCCUGGUCUGGCUGUGACACCCAGUUCGGCUGCGUGCCCCGCGAAUGGCUGCAGUUCCCAGGUCGGCUCGCUUGUCCCAGGUCUGGCAGUUGCGCCCAGGUCGGCUCGCUUGCCCCAG